rnacentral:rRNA from 1 species
GAUCCUGGCUCAGGACGAACGCUGGCGGCGUGCUUAACACAUGCAAGUCGAACGGAAAGGUCUCUUCGGAGAUACUCGAGUGGCGAACGGGUGAGUAACACGUGGGUAAUCUGCCCUGCACUUCGGGAUAAGCCUGGGAAACUGGGUCUAAUACCGAAUAGGACCACUUGGCGCAUGCCUUGUGGUGGAAAGCUUUUGCGGUGUGGGAUGGGCCCGCGGCCUAUCAGCUUGUUGGUGGGGUGAUGGCCUACCAAGGCGACGACGGGUAGCCGGCCUGAGAGGGUGUCCGGCCACACUGGGACUGAGAUACGGC